CGUAGGUGGUUUGUCGCGUCGUCUGUGAAUUCCGGGGCUUAACUCCGGGCGUGCAGGCGAUACGGGCUGACUUGAGUGCUGUAGGGGAGACUGGAAUUCCUGGUGUAGCGGUGAAAUGCGCAGAUAUCAGGAGGAACACCGAUGGCGAAGGCAGGUCUCUGGGCAGUUACUGACGCUGAGGAGCGAAAGCAUGGGUAGCGAACAGGAUUAGAUACCCUGGUAGUCCAUGCCGUAAACGGUGGGCGCUAGGUGUGAGUCCCUUCCACGGGAUUCGUGCCGUAGCUAACGCAUUAAGCGCCCCGCCUGGGGAGUACGGCCGCAAGGCUAAAACUCAAAGGAAUUGACGGGGGCCCGCACAAGCGGCGGAGCAUGUGGAUUAAUUCGAUGCAACGCGAAGAACCUUACCUGGGCUUGACAUAUACAGGAUUGCUGCAGAGAUGUAGUUUCCCUUGUGGCUUGUAUACAGGUGGUGCAUGGUUGUCGUCAGCUCGUGUCGUGAGAUGUUGGGUUAAGUCCCGCAACGAGCGCAACCCUUGUCUUAUGUUGCCAGCACGUUAUGGUGGGGACUCAUGAGAGACUGCCGGGGUCAACUCGGAGGAAGGUGGGGAUGACGUCAAAUCAUCAUGCCCCUUAUGUCCAGGGCUUCACACGUGCUACAAUGGUCGGUACAAUGCGCAGCGACACUGUGAGGUGGAGCGAAUCGCUGAAAGCCGGUCUUAGUUCGGAUUGGGGUCUGCAACUCGACCCCAU
rnacentral:rRNA from 1 species